GGAAUUUUGGACAAUGGGCGCAAGCCUGAUCCAGCAAUGCCGCGUGCAGGAUGAAGGCCUUCGGGUUGUAAACUGCUUUUGUACGGAGCGAAACGGUCUGCUUUAAUACAGUGGGCUAAUGACGGUACCGUAAGAAUAAGCACCGGCUAACUACGUGCCAGCAGCCGCGGUAAUACGUAGGGUGCGAGCGUUAAUCGGAAUUACUGGGCGUAAAGCGUGCGCAGGCGGUUAUAUAAGACAGAUGUGAAAUCCCCGGGCUCAACCUGGGACCUGCAUUUGUGACUGUAUAGCUAGAGUACGGUAGAGGGGGAUGGAAUUCCGCGUGUAGCAGUGAAAUGCGUAGAUAUGCGGAGGAACACCGAUGGCGAAGGCAAUCCCCUGGACCUGUACUGACGCUCAUGCACGAAAGCGUGGGGAGCAAACAGGAUUAGAUACCCUGGUAGUCCACGCCCUAAACGAUGUCAACUGGUUGUUGGGUCUUCACUGACUCAGUAACGAAGCUAACGCGUGAAGUUGACCGCCUGGGGAGUACGGCCGCAAGGUUGAAACUCAAAUGAAUUGACGG
rnacentral:rRNA from 1 species